CCAGCUCCAAUAGCGUAUAUUAAAGUUGCUGCAGUUAAAAAGCUCGUAGUUGGAUUUCUGGAAUGAUUGGCUUGACCCGCUUCGCAAGAGGUGUGUGUCGACGUCGGUCUUCCAUCUUUGUAGGUUUCUGUGCGCAAGCACGGAAUUCUACAUCUUUUACUUUGAAAAAAUUAGAGUGUUUAAAGCAGGCUUCUGCUAUGAAUACAUUAGCAUGGAAUAAUAAGAUAGGACUUCGGUUCUAUUUUGUUGGUUUCUAGAAUUGAAGUAAUGAUUGAUAGGGAUAGUUGGGGGUGCUAGUAUUCAGCGGCCAGAGGUGAAAUUCUUGGAUUCGCUGAAGACUAACUCAUGCGAAAGCAUUCACCAAGGAUGUCUUCU
rnacentral:rRNA from 1 species